rnacentral:rRNA from 1 species
UACGUAGGGAGCAAGCGUUGUCCGGAAUCAUUGGGCGUAAAGAGCGCGUAGGUGGCUUUAUAAGUCUGUUGUGAAAGUCAAAGGCUCAACCUUUGAAAGCCGAUGGAUACUGUGAAGCUAGAGUACGGAAGAGGCGAGUGGAAUUCCUGGUGUAGCGGUGGAAUGCGCAGAUAUCAGGAGGAACACCAAUAGCGAAGGCAGCUCGCUGGGACGUUACUGACACUGAGGCGCGAAAGCGUGGGGAGCGAACAGG